rnacentral:rRNA from 1 species
AGUGAACGCUGGCGGCAGGCCUAACACAUGCAAGUCGAACGGUAACAGGAAGAGGCUUGCUUCUUUGCUGACGAGUGUCGGAGGGGGGAGUGAUGUCUGUGGAACUGCCUUUUUUAGGGGGGGAACUAGUGGGAACGGUAGCGAAUACCGCAUAACGUCCCUAGGGGUAAGAGGGGGAGCUUCGGGCCCCUUGCGAGCGUGAGUGCGCAGAUGUGGGUUUCGCUAGUGGGGGGGGUAACGGCCCACCAAGGCGACGAUCCGUAGCUGGUCUGAGAGGAUGAUCAGCCACACUGGAACUGAGACACGGUCCAGGCUCCUACGGGAGGCAGCAGUGGGGAAUAUUGCACAAUGGGCGCAAGCCUGAUGCAGCCAUGCCGCGUGUAUGAAGAAGGCCUUCGGGUUGUAAAGCACUUUUAGCGGGGAGGAAAGGCGUCAGGUUAAUACCUCUCCUCACUGACGUUACCCGAAGAAGAAGCACCGGCUAACUUCGUG